UACGUAGGGUGCGAGCGUUGUCCGGAAUUAUUGGGCGUAAAGGGCUCGUAGGCGGUCUGUUGCGUCAGGAGUGAAAACUCGGGGCUUAACCCCGAGCCUGCUUCUGAUACGGGCAGACUAGAGGUAUGCAGGGGAGAACGGAAUUCCUGGUGUAGCGGUGAAAUGCGCAGAUAUCAAGAGGAACACCUGAGGUGAAGACGGGUUGCUGGGCUGACACUGACGCUGAGGCGCGAAAGCCAGGGGAGCAAACGGG
rnacentral:rRNA from 1 species